UACGUAGGGAGCGAGCGUUGUCCGGAUUUAUUGGGCGUAAAGAGCUCGUAGGCGGUUUGGUAAGUCGGGUGUGAAAGCUCCGGGCUUAACUCGGAAAGGUCAACUGAUACUGUGCGACUAGAGUGCGGAAGGGGCAACUGGAAUUCUUGGUGUAGCGGUGAAAUGCGUAGAUAUCAAGAGGAACACCUGCGGCGAAGGCGGGUUGCUGGGCCGACACUGACGCUGAGGCGCGAAAGCCAGGGGAGCGAACGGG
rnacentral:rRNA from 1 species